AUUGAACGCUGGCGGCAUGCUUUACACAUGCAAGUCGAACGGUAACAGGGUGCUUGCACCGCUGACGAGUGGCGAACGGGUGAGUAAUGCGUCGGAACGUGCCGAGUAGUGGGGGAUAACGCAGCGAAAGUUGUGCUAAUACCGCAUACGUACUGAGGUAGAAAGUGGGGGACCUUCGGGCCUCACGCUACUCGAGCGGCCGACGUCUGAUUAGCUAGUAGGUGAGGUAAAGGCUCACCCAGGCGACGAUCAGUAGCGGGUCUGAGAGGAUGAUCCGCCACACUGGGACUGAGACACGGCCCAGACUCCUACCGGAGGCAGCAGUGGGGAAUUUUGGACAAUGGGCGAAAGCCUGAUCCAGCCAUGCCGCGUGUCUGAAGAAGGCCUUCGGGUUGUAAAGGACUUUUGUCAGGGAGGAAAUCCCUAGUGCUAAUAACACUGGGGGAUGACAGUACCUGAAGAAUAAGCACCGGCUAACUACGUGCCAGCCGCCGCCGUAA
rnacentral:rRNA from 1 species